rnacentral:rRNA from 1 species
AGAUUUUAUAAAAGUAUUUUAAUUAUAUUUGGUUUUAGUAUUAAGUAAAAAUAAAUUUAUAGAUUUAUAGUUUAAUAGUAUUGUGAAAGAAUUUUUAAAAAUUUUUAAAAGAAUUUUUUUAGUACCUUUUGUAUCAGGGUUAAUUAAAAUUUUUAAUUUAAUUUUAAAUUCUCAAAAUUUAUAGAGUUAAUUUUAUUAUUAAUUUAUUAUUUUAUAAAUAUUUAAAAAAUAAUUUUAGUUUUGAAAUUUAAUUCGUUAUAAUAUAUUUAGUUAUUUAAGAUUUAAAUUUAAUUUAAAAUUUUAAAAGUUUUAUUUAUAUAUAAAUAGAAAUUAUUUUAAAUUUAAAUUAUUUUAGGGAUAAGCUUGGAAUUUUUAUAAAAUAAAGUAUAUUUUAUUAAUAAUUUUUAGGAAUAGAAAUUUUUAUUUAAGUUUGUAAAAAUUUAUUAUUUAAUUUUAUUUAAUUUAUUAUAUGUUUAUUUAUUUUUAAUAUUAAAUUUUAUAAAUUAAUAAUUUAUUUAUAGUAAUAAUGAUUAAAUUAGUAUAAUUAAAUAUUUAUAAAUUAUGAAUUUGGCAAAAAUUAUUUUCAUCUGUUUAACAAAAACAUAGUAUUAAGAUUUAUUUAAUAUAGAAUCUGCUCAAUGAAUUAAUUUAAAUAGCUGCAGUAUAUUGACUGUGCAAAGGUAGCGUAAUAAUUAGUCUUUUAAUUGGGGACUAGAAUGAAAGAUUUGAUGAGAAAUAGACUUUAUUGUUUAUAAAAUUAAAAUUUUAUUUUUAAGUAAAAAAGCUUAAAUAUUUUAAAGGGACGAUAAGACCCUAUAAAACUUUAUAAUUUAUUGUAUUAAGAUUUUUGGAUCAUAUAAAUUUUUAUAUUUUAAAUUAUUUUAUUGGGGUGAUAAAAAAAAUUAAUUAACUUUUUUUAAAAUUUUACAUUAAUUAAUGAUUUAUUGAAUUAAAAUUUUUAAUUAUAGGAAAAAGUUACUUUAGGGAUAACAGCGUAAUUAAUUUUUUAAGUUCAAAUUUAAAAAUUAGUUUGCGACCUCGAUGUUGAAUUAAGAUUAGUCUUAGGUGCAAAAUUUUAAGUUAUAGGUCUGUUCGACCUUUAAAUUCUUACAUGAUUUGAGUUCAAACC